rnacentral:rRNA from 1 species
UACGUAGGGGGCAAGCGUUAUCCGGAUUUACUGGGUGUAAAGGGAGCGUAGGUGGCUCGAUAAGUCAGAUGUGAAAGCCCGGGGCUCAACCCCGGGACUGCAUUUGAAACUAUCGAGCUAGAGUGCAGGAGAGGUAAGUGGAAUUCCUAGUGUAGCGGUGAAAUGCGUAGAUAUUAGGAGGAACACCAGUGGCGAAGGCGACUUACUGGACUGUAACUGACACUGAGGCUCGAAAGCGUGGGGAGCAAACAGG